rnacentral:rRNA from 1 species
UACGUAGGGGGCAAGCGUUGUCCGGAUUUAUUGGGCGUAAAGAGCGUGUAGGCGGCCAGGUAGGUCGGUUGUGAAAACUGGAGGCUUAACCUUCAGACGUCGACCGAAACCAUCUGGCUAGAGUCCGGAAGAGGAGAGUGGAAUUCCUGGUGUAGCGGUGAAAUGCGCAGAUAUCAGGAAGAACACCCGUGGCGAAGGCGGCUCUCUGGGACGGUACUGACGCUGAGACGCGAAAAGCGUGGGGAGCGAACAGG